AUUGAACGCUGGCGGCAUGCUUUACACAUGCAAGUCGGACGAGUGGCGAACGGGUGAGUAACGCAUCGGAACGUACCGAGUAAUGGGGGAUAACUGUCCGAAAGGACAGCUAAUACCGCAUAUUAUUCGAGCGGCCGAUGUCUGAUUAGCUGGUUGGCGGGGUAAAGGCCCACCAAGGCGACGGUCAGUAGCGGGUCUGAGAGGAUGAUCCGCCACACUGGGACUGAGCAACGCCCCGGACUCUUACGGGAGGCGCCAGUGGGGAAUUUUGGACAAUGGGCGCAGUCCGGAUCCAGCCAUGCCGCGUGUCGGAAGAAGGCCUUCGGGUUUUCAGGGACUUUUUUCAGGGAAGCGGUACCUGAAGAAUAAGCACCGGCUAACUACGUGCCAGCAGCCACGGUAAUAC
rnacentral:rRNA from 1 species